rnacentral:sRNA from 1 species
AUCUUCCCCUACUACGGCCGUGAGGAGGAGCUGCGCAAGCACCCCAUCAAGCGUGCCGCCGAGGGCUGGGCCGCACCUGACGCCCUGCUGGGCCAGGUGAAGGCCUCGCUGCUCCCUGAUGGCAGCGGGGGUGGGCGGCGGCGGAGGGAGCUGGACCCCAUGGACGUCCGCGGCUCCAUCGUCUACCUAGAGAUUGACAACCGGCAGUGUGUGCAGGCAUCCUCGCAGUGCUUCCAGAGUGCCACCGACGUGGCCGCGUUCCUGGGAGCACUCGCCUCGCUGGGCAGCCUCAACAUCCCCUACAAGAUCGAGGCUGUGCAGACUCAAUGCGAGUGCAGCGAUUUGAAGUUGACUAAUCCUCCUCCCUUAAAGGAGAAAAAAGUAAAAGCCGUCUCCAGAUACAGUCGGCUGGUGCAGGAGAGAAUUUAGCGAUAGUUUGCAAUUCUGAUUAAUCGCAUAGAAAAUGACCUUAUUUUGGGGGGCGGGAUGGAGGAGAGUGGGUGAGGAGGCGCCUGGCCGCGGAGCCAGUCCGCUGCCCCCCGGCCACCAGCCUGCUGCGUAGCCGCCGCCUGAUGUCUGGGCGCCUGCCCCUGGCCCCCGUGCCCGCAGGUGAGACCGUGGAGCCGCCCCCGCCGGCGCAGCUGCACUUCAU